UGGGGAAUAUUGCACAAUGGGCGCAAGCCUGAUGCAGCCAUGCCGCGUGUGUGAAGAAGGCCUUCGGGUUGUAAAGCACUUUCAGCGGGGAGGAAGGCGUUAAGGUUAAUAACCUUGGCGAUUGACGUUACCCGCAGAAGAAGCACCGGCUAACUCCGUGCCAGCAGCCGCGGUAAUACGGAGGGUGCAAGCGUUAAUCGGAAUUACUGGGCGUAAAGCGCACGCAGGCGGUCUGUCAAGUCGGAUGUGAAAUCCCCGGGCUCAACCUGGGAACUGCAUUCGAAACUGGCAGGCUAGAGUCUUGUAGAGGGGGGUAGAAUUCCAGGUGUAGCGGUGAAAUGCGUAGAGAUCUGGAGGAAUAACGGUGGCGAAGGCGGCCCCCUGGACAAAGACUGACGCUCAGGUGCGAAAGCGUGGGGAGCAAACAGG
rnacentral:rRNA from 1 species